CGGGGUGUGGCGCGGGGGGCGGGGCGAGGGGCGGGGCUUCCCGCCGAAAGGGGGCGGGGCGAGCGGGGCGGGGGCGGGGCGAGGCGAGGGGAGGCUGGCGAGCAGAGAGUGCCCUUGUGUCGCCAGCCGGCGAGCGGCUGGGAGCGAGCAGCCGCCCCGCGCCGCCAGCGGGACGGGACGGGACAGCCCGGGACGGGACGGGGCAGCGCAGCGCAGCACGGCGCGGGACAGGCCGGGCCGGGCCGCAGGGGCAGCCGGACCGACCCCGCGGUAGGGGCGAGGGGAGCCAGCGGGGGCAGCCGGCAGCGCUCGGCGGGGGGAAGCAGCCCGGCGGCGGCGGCGGCAGCGGCAGAGCCGGCGGGGAGAGCCGCUCCCCCCCCUUCCCUCCCCAAUCCACCCCCGCGACCCCGGCCCUCCUCCUCCUCCUCCUCCUCCUCCUCCUCACCCCACUGGAUACAGCGAGGGAGACACUGCGGCGGCGGAGGCGGCGGCGGCGGCGGCUCCUGCGGGGGGAAGGAAGCGCCCGGAGAGCGGAGCGGCGGGAGGCUGCGGAUCUGCGUGCCUGGCGCCCACCCAGCCCGAGGGGAGCCCCCAGGAUGCGGCUCAAGCCCGGCGCGCUCCUGCGCCUCUACAGCCUCUGCGGGAUCCUCAUGCAAGGUAACCGCCUCCUCCGCACCCCUCGGCGGGGACCCCGCGGGGCUCCCCUCAGCCCCCCCCAACCCCAGCGGCCGCCCCCUUGCAGCGUCGCCCCCCGCCCGCCCGCCCGGCAGGGGCAGGGGCAGGGGCAGGGGCUCCGCGCCCCGCUCCGUGCCGCCGCCGCGGCCGUACAGGGGCGCCUAUGGAGCCCUACAGAGCUCGGCGCGGGUGUGCGUGCAGCGCGUGUGCGCCGAGAGCAGGGAGCCAGCCCGGAGCUCCUCGACGCCCCGCUCCGAGCCGCUGUCCUCCCGCAGCGAGUUUCCAGACUCACCGUGUAGCCCUCGUCCCUCCUCCUCCUCCUCCUCCUCCUCCUGCGCCUCCCCUCCCGCCGCACCGCCGCCGCUCCGCUUAAUUAACACGAGCGAAAGGGAACAACCGCUGCGGCCGCGGCGGAGGGGAACCCGCGGAGCACCAUUAUCAUGCAAAUGACUGGCGUGUGCGGCCGGGGGAGGCCCCCCGUGCACCCCCCGGCACCCCCUCAGCCCCCCCCCGGAGCUCCCCCGGUGCUGCCGGGCAGAGUUUCCCCGCCCGGGGGGCGGCGCAGCCCCCCCUGCCCCCGCCGCCCUCCUGAGGGGCCGGGGCGGGGCGAGGGGCGGCGGGGGGGGGGCUGGGAGGGGGGGCGUUGAAACGGAGCGACCUUGCGGGGUUUUUUGCGUCCCCUGGGCUCCGCGUCGAGUUGGGCACGGGGCUGGGCUGCGGGGAGAGGGGCGCGGGGGGGCCUCGGCGCUGUCACCUCGCCGUGAAGUGAGCGGCCCUUUGGGGGGGGGACCGAGGGGGCUCGGCAGCGGGCAGCGCCGGCUUCCCGGGGCAGG
rnacentral:lncRNA from 1 species